UGCCGCGUAGCCCAGUUGGUAGAGCAUUGGGCUAGUAUUCCAAAGGUCGUAGGUUCGAUUCCCACCGUGGCCA